rnacentral:rRNA from 1 species
AACGAACGCUGGCGGCAGGCCUAACACAUGCAAGUCGAGCGCCCUUUCGGGGGCGCGGCGGACGGGUGAGUAACGCGUGGGAAUAUGCCCUUCUCUACGGAAUAGCCUCGGGAAACUGAGAGUAAUACCGUAUACGCCCUUUGGGGGAAAGAGUUAUCGGGGAAGGAUUAGCCCGCGUUGGAUUAGGUAGUUGGUGGGGUAAUGGCCUACCAAGCCGACGAUCCAUAGCUGGUUUGAGAGGAUGAUCAGCCACACUGGGACUGAGACACGGCCCAGACUCCUACGGGAGGCAGCAGUGGGGAAUCUUAGACAAUGGGGGCAACCCUGAUCUAGCCAUGCCGCGUGAGUGAUGAAGGCCUUAGGGUUGUAAAGCUCUUUCAGCUGGGAAGAUAAUGACGGUACCAGCAGAAGAAGCCCCGGCUAACUCCGUG